AGGUUACUGCUAUCGGUGUUCGCCUAAGCCAUGCGAGUCAUAUGUUCGUAAGAACAUGGCGUACUGCUCAGUAACACGUGGAUAACCUGCCCUUGGGUCCGGCAUAACCCCGGGAAACUGGGGAUAAUUCCGGAUAACGCACAUAUGCUGGAAUGCUUUAUGCGUAAAAUGGAUUCGUCUGCCCAAGGAUGGGUCUGCGGCCUAUCAGGUAGUAGUGGGUGUAAUGUACCUACUAGCCUACGACGGGUACGGGUUGUGAGAGCAAGAGCCCGGAGAUGGAUUCUGAGACAUGAAUCCAGGCCCUACGGGGCGCAGCAGGCGCGAAAACUUUACAAUGCGGGAAACCGUGAUAAGGGGACACCGAGUGCCAGCAUCCUAUGCUGGCUGUCCGGGUGUGUAAAAUACACCUGUUAGCAAGGGCCGGGCAAGACCGGUGCCAGCCGCCGCGGUAACACCGGCGGCCCGAGUGGUGAUCGUGAUUAUUGGGGUCUAAAGGGUCCGUAGCCGGUUUGGUCAGUCCUCCGGGAAAUCUGACAGCUUAACUGUUAGGCUUUCGGAGGAUACUGCCAGACUUGGAACCGGGAGAGGUAAGAGGUACUACAGGGGUAGGAGUGAAAUCUUGUAAUCCCUGUGGGACCACCUGUGGCGAAGGCGUCUUACCAGAACGGGUUCGACGGUGAGGGACGAAAGCUGGGGGCACGAACCGGAUUAGAUACCCGGGUAGUCCCAGCCGUAAACGAUGCUCGCUAGGUGUCAGGCAUGGCGCGACCGUGUCUGGUGCCGCAGGGAAGCCGUGAAGCGAGCCACCUGGGAAGUACGGCCGCAAGGCUGAAACUUAA
rnacentral:rRNA from 1 species